rnacentral:rRNA from 1 species
CAGCAGUAGGGAAUCUUCCGCAAUGGACGAAAAUUCUGACGGAGCAACGCCGCCUGAGUGAUGAAGGUUUUCCGAUCGUAAAGCUCUGUUGUUAGGGAAGAACAAGUGCCGUUCAAAUAGGGCGGCACCUUGACGGUACCUAACCAGAAAGCCACGGCUAACUACGUGCCAGCAGCCGCGGUAAUACGUAGGUGGCAAGCGUUGUCCGGAAUUAUUGGGCGUAAAGGGCUCGCAGGCGGUUUCUUAAGUCUGAUGUGAAAGCCCCCGGCUCAACCGGGGAGGGUCAUUGGAAACUGGGGAACUUGAGUGCAGAAGAGGAGAGUGGAAUUCCACGUGUAGCGGUGAAAUGCGUAGAGAUGUGGAGGAACACCAGUGGCGAAGGCGACUCUCUGGUCUGUAACUGACGCUGAGGAGCGAAAGCGUGGGGAGCGAACAGGAUUAGAUACCCUGGUAGUCCACGCCGUAAACGAUGAGUGCUAAGUGUUAGGGGGUUUCCGCCCCUUAGUGCUGCAGCUAACGCAUUAAGCACUCCGCCUGGGGAGUACGGUCGCAAGACUGAAACUCAAAGGAAUUGACGGGGGCCCGCACAAACGGUGGAGCAUGUGGUUUAAUUCGAAGCAACGCGAAGAACCUUACCAGGUCUUGACAUCCUCUGACAAUCCUAGAGAUAGGACGUCCCCUUUCGGGGGGCAGAGUGACAGGGUGGUGCAUGGGUUGUCGUCAGCUCCGUGUCCGGGAGAAGUUUGGGUUAAAGUCCCCGCAACCAAGCGCAACCCCUUGGAUCUUAAGUUGCCCAGCAUUCAGUUUGGGGCACUCUAAAGGGGACUGCCCGGUGACAAACCCGGA